rnacentral:rRNA from 1 species
UACGGAGGGGGCGAGCGUUGUUCGGAUUUACUGGGCGUAAAGGGCGCGCAGGCGGCCGCUCAAGUCAGGCGUGAAAGCCCCGGGCUUAACCUGGGAACUGCGUCUGGGACUGAGUGGCUAGAGUUCGGGAGAGGAGAGUGGAAUUCCCAGUGUAGAGGUGAAAUUCGUAGAUAUCAGGAGGAACACCGGUGGCGAAGGCGGGUCUCUGGGCCGAUACUGACGCUGAGGAGCGAAAGCGUGGGGAGCGAACAGG